GGCGAUUUAGCUCAGUUGGUUAGAGCGUGUGCUUAACACUUGCAACCCACCUCUCUGUCUCCUGGAGCAGGUAGUGGUCGAAGAGUUGCGCACAAGGUCGGCGGUUCGACCCCGUCAAACGUCA